rnacentral:lncRNA from 1 species
AGAAUAUAUAUUCAAAUGCUCUAAUAAUUCACUUAGUACUUUUCUGAAAAGUAAUCAUAAGUGGUAUAUUUGUUACUCAAUUUAAGUUUUUAAUAAGGGAUGAUGAGACUUAACAAGUUAAGAUGAGAAAACUGGUAUAGGGUAGGUCUGAGGGUGAAAGGGGACUCAAGAACUUAAUCGUGGACAUUUUGGAUACCUUUGUCCACUAUGUGAUAAUAUAUCUAAUACAUGCAACAAUGUAAUCAAUCCAAACAUCAUAGCUGUAAGGGAGAAUUAAUUGACCCUACUUUCCAGAUGAAAAAGAUUGGGAUUCAGAGAACAUGAGUCUGGUCUAAGUUGAGCCAGCUGGUGUGAGUUAGAUUUAGUAUUGAGACAAGGACUUCCUGGGCAGCCUAUCUGAUCUCCUCAGCUCUGAUUUUCCUCUGCUUCCCACAAUAAAGCCAACAGCCAGACAGGUGGGGACAGGCCUCUAAGGUCCUCUCAUUGCUCAUGACCCAAAUCCCACAACUGUUUCCAAGUUGCUUCCCAGUCUCCCCUCUUUCUUCACUUUGUGACCCGUGGUCCUUCCCUGUCCCCUCAGAUCUGAUUCUAGGCACCACUUUUCACACAUCAAUCUUUUACUUGUCAUGGUUUCCUACAGAGUAUGUUCCUUCUGAAGCCACUGCAGCUUCCUGUGACUGGAAAUUUGAAAACAUUCUGGUCUCUACUUUUAUAAUUUGUGCACAUAAUGCAAAUACGGGUUUUUAUAUUCAUAUACAUCCUUGGAAAAAGUGAAAAAAGGUUAAUAUGUUUACCUAUUUUAUCUAUUUAGCCAUUUUGCACUUUCAGAUGAGAGUACUGUCUUUUCA